rnacentral:rRNA from 1 species
AUGAACGCUGGCGGCGUGCUUAACACAUGCAAGUCGUACGAGAAAUCUCGGGCUUGCUCGAGAGAGUAAAGUGGCGCACGGGUGAGUAACACGUAGGUAAUCUACCUCCGGGUCAGGGAUAACCCGCCGAAAGGCGGGCUAAUACCUGGUAAUAUCCUGCCUGCGAGAGCAGGCGGGAUCAAAGGUGGCCUCUGCAUGCAAGCUACUGUUUGGAGAUGAGCCUGCGGACCAUUAGCUAGUUGGUAGGGUAAUGGCCUACCAAGGCGACGAUGGUUAGCUGGUCUGAGAGGACGGCCAGCCACACUGGAACUGGAACACGGUCCAGACUCCUACGGGAGGCAGCAGUGAGGAAUAUUGCGCAAUGGGGGAAACCCUGACGCAGCGACGCCGCGUGGGUGAAGAAGGCCUUCGGGUCGUAAAGCCCUGUCAAGUGGGAAGAAUGUCCUGUUAACUACGU